UACAGAGGGUGCAAGCGUUGUUCGGAAUUAUUGGGCGUAAAGGGCGCGUAGGCGGCUCUGCACGUUCGUUGUGAAAUCGCCCGGCUCAACUGGGCGGGGUCAGCGGAUACGGCAGAGCUUGAGCAAGCUAGGGGGCAAUGGAAUUCCCGGUGUAGUGGUGGAAUGCGUAGAUAUCGGGAGGAACACCGGUGGCGAAGGCGGGUCUCUGGGCCGAUACUGACGCUGAGGAGCGAAAGCGUGGGGAGCGAACAGG
rnacentral:rRNA from 1 species